GCCUGUGUAGCUCAAAGGCCAGAGCAGUUGCCUCGUAAGUAACAGAUAGGGGUUCGAGUCCCUUCACAGGCU
rnacentral:tRNA from 3 species